UACGGGAGGCAGCAGUAGGGAAUCUUUCACAAUGGGCGAAAGCCUGAUGGAGCAAUGCCGCGUGCAGGACGAAGGCCUUCGGGUUGUAAACUGCUUUUAUAAGCGAGGAAUAUGACGGUAACUUAUGAAUAAGGAUCGGCUAACUACGUGCCAGCAGCCGCGGUAAU
rnacentral:rRNA from 1 species